rnacentral:SRP_RNA from 1 species
CCCGCAAGCACCUACGACCAGCUCCUGUGAACCCCUCCAGGACGGGAACGUAGCAAAGGUAAACGGUUGUAGCGGUGCGAUAGGGGCUUGCUUUUUU